CAGUCGCCGCGGUAAUACGUAGGUGGCAAGCGUUGUCCGGAAUUAUUGGGCGUAAAGGGCUCGCAGGCGGUUUCUUAAGUCUGAUGUGAAAGCCCCCGGCUCAACCGGGGAGGGUCAUUGGAAACUGGGAAACUUGAGUGCAGAAGAGGAGAGUGGAAUCCCACGUGUAGCGGUGAAAUGCGUAGAGAUGUGGAGGAACACCAGUGGCGAAGGCGACUCUCUGGUCUGUAACUGACGCUGAGGAGCGAAAGCGUGGGGAGCGAACAGGAUUAGAUACCCCAGUAGUCCCUGUCUCUUAUAC
rnacentral:rRNA from 1 species